UUUGUUUAAAUAAAUUAAUUGAUGCUGCUGAUAAGUAAAAGUUUUAUUUUAUUAAUUCAAUAUUUUAUUAAAGAUUUUAUUGUAAUAAAUAAUAUUUAAUAUUUCCAGUUAUUUUUAAAGAACAGACUCGUUCUUUAAUGAUGGAGUCCCUAAAUUAGGCCUAAAUUACUUCAAAGGAAGAAUAUGGACGAUAUAGAAUUAAGGGAUUUUUGGCCAUAUUAAGGGACGAUUUUUCUUGGAGGAUUCCGCUUGUCAUGUGUAGACCGUAUCCCAAAAGUGAUCAUUUCCUUUAAUUUUGUCAAGAUUAGAAAUCGACUAUUGUUAUUUGUCUUCUCGGAAUGACAGAAUACUGAAUUACUCUAUCGUAUUACUCGUAAAACUGGUGUUUUUUACAAGACAAUCUUAAGCUGAUUUUAGAUGCAACAAUGUUGUUUCUAUAUCUCUUGAGAUUUAAUGUAGUUAACAAAUAUUUAAGUAAUUAUUAAAUAUUUAAAUACAUUUUGUGUGAUAAUAUUUCAUUAGAUAACAGCUUCAUAUCUCCAGUUUAGUAUAAAAAUUUAUAAUUUGGUUAGAGAAUUAUAUUUUAUCCUUUUAUAAGUAUCGUUAUGCAGGUAACAUUCUGAAAUAUUAUGUUAAUGUGACAGAAAUGAUCGAAACAAUUUAUCUACAUAUUUCAUUCAAUAAAAUGUUUAAUUAUAAUAAAUUUAAAUGUUUGUUUUA